CUUCAUGCGUUACGGCGGUGAAAAAGAACCAAAAAAAAAAGAAAAGAAGAACGCACGCCGCCUGCAGAAGUUCCACUUGGUCCUAUCAGACAGCCCUUGCUAUUGUCACCUUAUGAUAAAUGGAUAUUUAAUCAGAGAUGUAAUCAUCCCUUUUGAUUCCCACACUUAACUAUACUAUCUUUUUCUCCACCGCUCUUUUGCUUCUCUUUCAAAGAAAGUCGGCAUAUUUUCUUGGUUACGUCAUGAUCCAGUUUGCAACAAUAUACCAACAACUGAACUUUGCUGUCCUAGUUCUGAAAACAAGUUCUCCACGUUUGUACAAGACCUUCAGCUGUUUAGGCAAAGAGAUGACACCAAAAUAAGCUUAUCGAGGACUGGACUUCUUGAAAACACACUUGUAAGAGAGAUGACACCAAAAUAAGCUUAUCGAGGCCUGGACUUCUUGAAAACACACUUUUCCUCUUCACUAAAACUACCUAGAACAAGGUAGCUCUAAUUCUUCUAAAUUCAACAAAAAAUACGAUGUGAUUUUAACUGCAUCAAGAGAAGCUUCCAAUGGCAACAAGAGGUUACUGAAGGCAUCAAGAAAGGUUCCUUAAGACAUCAAGACAGGCUUUUAAAGACAUCCAGAGAAGCUUUCAAAGACAACAAGAGGCUACUGAAGGCCUCAAGAAAGGUUACUAGAGACAACAAUACAGGCUUUCAAAGACACAAAGAAAGAUUUCCAAAGACAUUUAAGACAUUGCUAAAGACAUCAAAAGAGAAUUCCAAAAACAUUAUAAGGCUGCUGAAGACAUCAAGAAAAUUUUCCAAAGACAUCAAGAGGUUACUGAAAGCAUUAAGAGGAUUCUGAAGACAUUUACUAUACUGUGUAUAACUGAUGGAAUUUACCUCUUGUAGUUGAAUGAUUAAGUGUUUUAGCAAAACAUCGUUCAUUUUUCGUAAGAUUCUGUAAAUCAAUUUUUAACAGUAUAUCCACAACUGAAGAUAUCUUACAUAAAAAGUGUAAAAUAAUCAUAUUAGUAAAGACAUUUGA